AGCUUCGUCUGGUCUUGCUGC
rnacentral:miRNA from 1 species